rnacentral:lncRNA from 1 species
UUCAAUCAAACCCAGCAAAAUACAUUGUUAACAUGAACGCCUUAGUGAAAGUUUUUAGUUACACGAGGACUAAACUGAAAACUAGAAUAGAAAAUGAACUAUAAUAAACCACUAACAGAAUUUACACUACUACUACAAUAUAGUAGUAGGCCUCAUAAAUCAGAAACCUAAAGAAAGAAUUCAGUUUUCAGUUAGAGUCCAAAGACUUUGAAACUUCAGUUACAUCCCGGAGACAUAACGACACACGACAACUGACUCUAUUGAUUUUGAAAUGACCAACAAAUAAUCAACAAAGCAAAACUAAAAAAACAAAAGUAAAACAAGAGAAGCGACAAAGAAAUAUUGACUACGAAUCAAAUCAAUGAAACGAACUAAAAGAUUAAUGAGUCAAAAAGUAGCUCAAUUGACCUCAGUCGCCUAAUCGAUACAUCUAAACUAAUCACGACGAGCAAGGAAAGGGAUGAUUCGAAGCACCGUACAAUGACAUAAAAAUAAUAGCAAACAACAAAUUACUAAUUAAAUUUAUGGGAACAACAUAAACGUGAAUACAAAAUAAACUUUAAAGCUUCUGCUACUACUAACUACAAGAAUGAAAUCAGAAGAAAAAAAAGGAAAUAGCUAUUACCAACACUUAGGGACAUUCGAGGCCAAAUCGCACAACGAUAAUAUGCUGAGGAUAUCAACCAAUGACUGUCCAAUCCUAAAACGUAAGCUUCUUUUUAGUAGACGCCUAAACAAAUAAGGUCUGGCGUCAUACUAUAUGGAAACGUGACUUUUCGGAUCGAAUAGGCUUAAAGAAUGAGGCAGUGGUAAGGCAGUAGUGGCGGGACAGUGGGGUGGCCGUCGGAAUUCAGCCAGAUUUUGAUCCUCGGAUUUGGGACAGAAACUAACACAAAGAGAUAGAAUCAUGCAAUACAUACAUAUAUNN